AGCGAACGCUGGCGGCAGGCCUAACACAUGCAAGUCGAACGAACUCUUCGGAGUUAGUGGCGGACGGGUGAGUAACACGUGGGAACGUGCCUUUUGGUUCGGAAUAACUCAGGGAAACUUGUGCUAAUACCGAAUGUGCCCUUCGGGGGAAAGAUUUAUCGCCAUUGGAGCGGCCCGCGUCUGAUUAGCUAGUUGGUGAGGUAACGGCUCACCAAGGCGCCGAUCAGUAGCUGGUCUGAGAGGAUGCCCAGCCACACUGGGACGGAGACACGGCCCAGACUCCCACGGGGGGCAGCAGUGGGGAAUCUGGCGAAAGGGGGGAAAGCCGGACGCACCCAGGCCGGGGAAAUGAUGAAGGUCUUAGGAUUGUAAAAUUCUUUCACCGGGGACGAUAAGGCCGGGACCCGGGGAAGAAGCCCCGGCAAACUUCGU
rnacentral:rRNA from 1 species